UUAUGAGAGUUUGAUCCUGGCUCAGGACGAACGCUGGCGGCGUGCCUAAUACAUGCAAGUCGAACGCUUUUUCUUUCACCGGAGCUUGCUCCACCGAAAGAAAAAGAGUGGCGAACGGGUGAGUAACACGUGGGUAACCUGCCCAUCAGAAGGGGAUAACACUUGGAAACAGGUGCUAAUACCGUAUAACACUAUUUUCCGCAUGGAAGAAAGUUGAAAGGCGCUUUUGCGUCACUGAUGGAUGGACCCGCGGUGCAUUAGCUAGUUGGUGAGGUAACGGCUCACCAAGGCAACGAUGCAUAGCCGACCUGAGAGGGUGAUCGGCCACACUGGGACUGAGACACGGCCCAGACUCCUACGGGAGGCAGCAGUAGGGAAUCUUCGGCAAUGGACGAAAGUCUGACCGAGCAACGCCGCGUGAGUGAAGAAGGUUUUCGGAUCGUAAAACUCUGUUGUUAGAGAAGAACAAGGAUGAGAGUAAAAUGUUCAUCCCUUGACGGUAUCUAACCAGAAAGCCACGGCUAACUACGUGCCAGCA
rnacentral:rRNA from 1 species